rnacentral:rRNA from 1 species
GUUGUGGGGUACUCGAGUGGCGAACGGGUGAGUAACACGUGAGUAACUACCCUUGACUUUGGGAUAACUUCAGGAAACUGGGGCUAAUACCGGAUAGGAGCUCCUGCUGCAUGGUGGGGGUUGGAAAGUUUCGGCGGUUGGGGAUGGACUCGCGGCUUAUCAGCUUGUUGGUGGGGUAGUGGCUCACCAAGGCUUUGACGGGUAGCCGGCCUGAGAGGGUGACCGGCCACAUUGGGACUGAGAUACGGCCCAG